rnacentral:rRNA from 1 species
UGUCCUUUAAAUGAGGACUGGUAUGAACGGCUUCACGAGGGCUGCACUGUCUCCUUUUUCUAAUCAGUUAAACUAAUCUCCCCGUGAAGAAGCGGGGAUUCACCUAUAAGACGAGAAGACCCUAUGGAGCUUUAAACAAUUGUUAACAUUUGCAUUUAAAAACUUUUCUACUACAUAAAGUCCAAGCACUAUGUUUCUAGUUUUAGGUUGGGGUGACCAUGGAGAAAAACCCAUCUUUUUUGUUGAAAGAAAUUUUAUUUCUUAGCAAAAAGUUACAUCUUAAUGCAUCAACAAAUUGACCCUAAUUGACCCAAUAAUUUGAUCAACGAACCAAGUUACCCUAGGGAUAACAGCGCAAUCCACUUCAAGAGCUCUUAUCGACAAGUGGGUUUACGACC